rnacentral:rRNA from 1 species
UGAGGAAUUUUGCGCAAUGGGAGCAAUCCUGACGCAGCAACGCCGCGUGGGUGAAGAAGGCCUUCGGGUCGUAAAGCCCUGUCAGGUGGGAAGAAGGGUCCUAUCAGGAAAGGGGUGGGAUUUGACGGUACCACCAGAGGAAGCACCGGCUAACUCCGUGCCAGCAGCCGCGGUAAUACGGAGGGUGCGAGCGUUAUUCGGAAUUACUGGGCGUAAAGCGCGUGUAGGCGGGGGAGCAAGUCUGAUGUGAAAGCCCCGGGCUUAACCCGGGGAAGUGAAUGGGAACUGGUUUUUCUUGGUAAUUGGGGGGGAGGGGGAAUUCCCGGGUGUAGGGGGAAAAUUGGAAGAGUUGGGGGGAAAUCCCGGGGGGGAGGGGGCCUUCUGGGCGGUUAACUAACGCUGGACGGCAAAGGCGGGGGAGCAAACAG